rnacentral:rRNA from 1 species
UACGUAGGGUGCAAGCGUUGUCCGGAAUUAUUGGGCGUAAAGAGCUCGUAGGCGGUUUGUCGCGUCUGCUGUGAAAACUCGGGGCUUAACUCCGGGCCUGCAGUGGGUACGGGCAGACUAGAGUGUGGUAGGGGAGAUCGGAAUUCCUGGUGUAGCGGUGAAAUGCGCAGAUAUCAGGAGGAACACCGGUGGCGAAGGCGGUUCUCUGGGAAUGUACUGACGCUGAGGAGCGAAAGUGUGGGGAGCGAACAGG